AUGGCUUCUCACCCAGACCUUAACACUGACUUGACCUACACAUCACCAGAUUCUGCCCCCAGACAGAGACCAAAGUUACCAAAGCGUGUGAGCCUGGAGACUCAAGUGGAGCUCUUACAAGCUGAAGUAUCUGUGUUGCAACAGUGCCUCAACGAUUCUCUCCAGUUGCAGCAGAGUAUAUUACGACGUUUUGGUCCUCCUGAUGUCAACAACCCUGCAGCACCACAUGCGCAGCUCCCUCCUAUGGCCAGCUCUACGCCACACAUCCAUAUUCCUCCAGGCCGAAUGCCAUUACAAAGUACAACCACCAAUAACUUUUCUCACGCAAACACGACUUUCUCACCACAGCCCAAUUCUUCUGAUGUGAGUAAUACUAGUAGAAUCCUCGCAUCUGUACUGUACCAGUCAAGGCUUGAACCACCUGUGUUUGCGGGAGAUGGACACGUUAGCCCUGAGGAUUGGCUACAAUCGGUCAAUGUGUACAGAACCUCCCUUGAUUUAACCGAUGCUCAGAUUCUUCUCGAGCUGCCACGGUUUUUAGCAAAAGAGCCAAAGAAAUGGUUUUCAGUUCUUGACGCACAUGUCGUUACAUGGGCCCAGUUCUGUGAUUUCUUCAGGAAAGUCUUUCUUCCUUCUGACAGCCAGGAACAAAUAAUGAGAGGUAUCUUGGACCAUAUGCAAAGCCCUGAAGAGCCCCUUCCUACUUUUGUGGCUCACAUGCUAAGUGAAUUCAGAAAACUGAAAACUCCUCCGCCAGAGCAAGAACAAAUCGACCUUAUUUGUAAACAUGCUCUUGAAAAGUAUAGAGUGGCUCUCUAUGGAACUUCUGUUUCCUCUGGUAUGGAUCUUCUGCUGAGGGCUCACGAGCUCCAUGUGGUCCUGGGACCAAGUAAAUGUUCAUUGCCUGCAAUGCAGAAUAAAGCUAAAUUUGUCAAAGAAACCUACUGUUACAAGUGCUCACGCCCUGGCUUCACUUCUCGUACAUGUCCAGACUGCAACUCACUUUCUGGAAAUGGCUCACAACAAAGUGAGUCCCCUAAUGCACAUUCGGAACCUGCUCUUGAUGCAAGAGUUACAAACGACCCUGAAAGUAGCAAUGCAGGGGAAGGAAAUUCAUUUGUAAGGCACAAGGGAAACUCCAAAGGGGGGAGGAUGAUUCGCAGAGGCAAUCCUCCCUCCAGAAGAUAA
ensembl:lncRNA